rnacentral:rRNA from 1 species
AUUGAACGCUGGCGGCAGGCCUAACACAUGCAAGUCGAACGAGUGGCGGACGGGUGAGUAAUGUCUGGGAAACUGCCUGACGGAGGGGGAUAACUACUGGAAACGGUAGCUAAUACCGCAUACCAUCAGAUGUGCCCAGAUGGGAUUAGCUAGUUGGUGGGGUAACGCCUCGCCAAGGCGACGAUCCCUAGCUGGACUGAGAGGAUGACCGGCAACACUGGAACUGAGACACGGUCCAGACUCCUACGGGAGUCAGCAGUAGGGAAUAUUGGGCAAUGGGCGAAAGCCUGAUGCAGACAUGCCGCGUGAAUGAAGAAGGCCUUCGGGUUGUAAAGUACUUUCAGCAGGGAAGCGGUACCCGAAGAAGAAGCACCGGCUAACUCCGUGCCAGCAGCCGCGGUAAUUC